GACGAACGCUGGCGGCGUGCCUAAUACAUGCAAGUCGAACGAACGGAUAAAGAGCUUGCUCUUUUGAAGUUAGUGGCGACGGGUGAGUAACACGUGGGUAACCUGCCUCACAGCUGGGGAUAACAUCGAGAAAUCGAUGCUAAUACCGAAUGUGCUGAACAUCAUAAGAUGUUCAAGUGAAAGACGUUUCGGCUGUCACUGUGAGAUGGACCCGCGCUGGAUUAGCUAGUUGGUAAGGUAAUGGCUUACCAAGGCGACGAUCCAUAGCCGACCUGAGAGGUGAUCGGCCACAUUGGGACUGAGACACGGCCCAAAACUCCUACGGGAGACAGCAGUAGG
rnacentral:rRNA from 1 species